rnacentral:rRNA from 1 species
GAUGAACGCUGGCGGCGUGCCUAACACAUGCAAGUCGAACGAAGCACCUUACCUGAUUCUUCGGAUGAAAGUUUGGUGACUGAGUGGCGGACGGGUGAGUAACGCGUGGGUAACCUGCCCUGUACAGGGGGAUAACAGCUGGAAACGGCUGCUAAUACCGCAUAAGCGCACGAGGAGACAUCUCCUUGUGUGAAAAACUCCGGUGGUACAGGAUGGGCCCGCGUCUGAUUAGCUGGUUGGCAGGGUAACGGCCUACCAAGGCAACGAUCAGUAGCCGGUCUGAGAGGAUGAACGGCCACAUUGGAACUGAGACACGGUCCAAACUCCUACGGGAGGAAGCAGUGGGGAAUAUUGCACAAUGGGGGAAACCCUGAUGCAGCAACGCCGCGUGAGUGAAGAAGUAUUUCGGUAUGUAAAGCUCUAUCAGCAGGGAAGAUAAUGACGGUACCUGACUAAGAAGCUCCGGCUAAAUACGUG